CCCCGGCCUUGCUCCCCGCAGGCCCCCUGCAGCAGCCCCUGGUUCAGCGUCGAACUGCGGUGCGUCGGAAAGUUCGUCCGAAGGCUCCUCGGCAAAACGCCUUGUCCCUGGUCUCAGCGCUCGCCUAGAAGAAUUUCUCUGCGGCCUCCCUUGUUACAGAAGCCGAGUGGCAGCAGAAUGUGUGAAGGGCCAUCCAAGAUUUCUGGACCC